rnacentral:rRNA from 1 species
UACGAAGGGGGCUAGCGUUGUUCGGAAUCACUGGGCGUAAAGCGCACGUAGGCGGAUCUUUAAGUCAGGGGUGAAAUCCCGAGGCUCAACCUCGGAACUGCCUUUGAUACUGGGGAUCUCGAGUCCGGGAGAGGUGAGUGGAAUUCCCAGUGUAGCGGUGAAAUACGUAGAUAUCUGGAGGAACACCGGUGGCGAAGGCGGCAUCCUGGACCGGCAUUGACGCUGAGGCGCGAAAGCCAGGGGAGCAAACGGG